UUAAGUGACUAAGCGUACAAGGUGGAUGCCUUGGCAAUCAGAGGCGAGGAAGGACGUGCUAAUCUGCGAAAAGCUUGGAUGAGUCGAUAAGAGGCGUUUAAUCCAAGAUGUCCGAAUGGGGAAACCCAGUAGAUGAAGAAUCUACUAUCACUUACUGAAUUCAUAGGUAAGUGAGGCAAACCGGGAGAACUGAAACAUCUAAGUACCCCGAGGAAAAGAAAUCAACCGAGAUUUCGUUAGUAGCGGCGAGCGAACGCGAAGGAGCCUGUUAGUGAUAAUGACAGAGACAGAGGAACAAGCUGGGAAGCUUGGCGAUACAGGGUGAUAGCCCCGUACUCGAAGUCCAGGUCAUGGUACUAAGCUAACGACAAGUAGGGCGGGACACGUGAUAUCCUGUUUGAAGAUGGGGGGACCAUCCUCCAAGGCUAAAUACUCCUGAUUGACCGAUAGUGAACCAGUACUGUGAAGGAAAGGCGAAAAGAACCCCGGUGAGGGGAGUGAAAUAGAACCUGAAACCUUGUACGUACAAGCAGUGGGAGCCCAUUAAGGGUGACUGCGUACCUUUUGUAUAAUGGGUCAGCGACUUAUAUUUUGUAGCGAGGUUAACCGAAUAGGGGAGCCGAAGGGAAACCGAGUCUUAACUGGGCGAAUAGUUGCAAGGUAUAGACCCGAAACCCGGUGAUCUAGCCAUGGGCAGGUUGAAGGUUGGGUAACACUAACUGGAGGACCGAACCGACUAAUGUUGAAAAAUUAGCGGAUGACUUGUGGCUGGGGGUGAAAGGCCAAUCAAACCGGGAGAUAGCUGGUUCUCCCCGAAAUCUAUUUAGGUAGAGCCUUGAGCGGACACCUUCGGGGGUAGAGCACUGUUUCGGCUAGGGGUCCAUCCCGGAUUACCAACCCGAUGCAAACUACGAAUACCGAAGAGUGAUACUCAGGAGACACACGGCGGGUGCUAACGUCCGUCGUGGAGAGGGAAACAACCCAGACCGCCAGCUAAGGUCCCAAAGUCUAUAUUAAGUGGGAAACGAAGUGGGAAGGCUUAGACAGCUAGGAUGUUGGCUUAGAAGCAGCCAUCAUUUAAAGAAAGCGUAAUAGCUCACUAGUCGAGUCGGCCUGCGCGGAAGAUGUAACGGGGCUCAAAUAUAGCACCGAAGCUGCGGCAUCAGACGAAAGUCUGUUGGGUAGGGGAGCGUUCUGUAAGCGGAUGAAGGUGGUUCGAGAGGGCUGCUGGACGUAUCAGAAGUGCGAAUGCUGACAUAAGUAACGAUAAAACGGGUGAAAAACCCGUUCGCCGGAAGACCAAGGGUUCCUGUCCAACGUUAAUCGGGGCAGGGUGAGUCGGCCCCUAAGGCGAGGCUGAAAAGCGUAGUCGAUGGGAAACGGGUUAAUAUUCCCGUACUUGGAUAAACUGCGAUGUGGGGACGGAGCAGGUUAGGUUAUCGCACUGUUGGAUAUGUGCGUUUAAGUUGGUAGGUGAGAAGUUUAGGCAAAUCCGGACUUCUUUAACACUGAGAGAUGAUGACGAGGCUCUACGGAGCUGAAGUAACCGAUACCACACUUCCAGGAAAAGCCACUAAGCUUCAGGUUUAUCUAAACCGUACUGAAAACCGACACAGGUGGUCAGGUAGAGAAUACUCAGGCGCUUGAGAGAACUCGGGUGAAGGAACUAGGCAAAAUAGCACCGUAACUUCGGGAGAAGGUGCGCCGGCGUAGAUUGUAGUCCCUAGCGGGCGAAGGUUGAACCGGUCGAAGAUACCAGCUGGCUGCAACUGUUUAUUAAAAACACAGCACUCUGCAAACACGAAAGUGGACGUAUAGGGUGUGAUGCCUGCCCGGUGCUGGAAGGUUAAUUGAUGGUGUAAUCGAAAGAGAAGCUCCUGAUCGAAGCCCCAGUAAACGGCGGCCGUAACUAUAACGGUCCUAAGGUAGCGAAAUUCCUUGUCGGGUAAGUUCCGAC
rnacentral:rRNA from 1 species